AUCUCUGCGUGACUUCCGCCAGCGUUUAGAGCGUUUUCGGGGUCCGAGUUGAAGAGCAAAACCAAGUGAAGGAAACUUCACUAAGUUCAGGGUGACAAGGGAGGAAGUACAGAGACUGCACUUUAAAUUCUGGAUGACAGACCUAUCAGGACUGAGUGGACCUUUGAGUGACAAGAUGGGGGUGUUCCAAAGAGACCAUGGCAGCCUGCAGCUAGGACUUUAAUGGCUGGUUCUUAAUGACCUUUGAUGCUCCAACACCUAACACCAUGCCUGGUACAAACUGCACACUCAAUUAGUAUUUGUUGUUGAACUGAACUCCUUUUGAGACAUGAUGCGUCUAACAAAGUAAUAGUAGUAGCCUCUGAGGAGGGAAACUAGCAGGUCAGAGUGAAAAAGAAAUUUUCUUUUUGUUGAAUAUAUUUUAGUUCUUUUUGCCUUUUCCUCCAAUGUAUUUCUAUUUCCUGAGAAAUAAAAAGAUGACAUAAAAAGUG
rnacentral:lncRNA from 1 species